rnacentral:rRNA from 1 species
UGCGUAGGUGGUUUCUUAAGUCAGAGGUGAAAGGCUACGGCUCAACCGUAGUAAGCCUUUGAAACUGGGAAACUUGAGUGCAGGAGAGGAGAGUGGAAUUCCUAGUGUAGCGGUGAAAUGCGUAGAUAUUAGGAGGAACACCAGUGGCGAAGGCGGCUUACUGGACGGUAACUGAAGUUGAGGCUCGAAAGCGUGGGGAGCAAACAA